rnacentral:rRNA from 1 species
UCAUGGGGCGAGAGCCUGAACCAGCCAAGUAGCGUGAAGGAUGACUGCCCUAUGGGUUGUAAACUUCUUUUAUAAAGGAAUAAAGUCGGGUAUGCAUACCCGUUUGCAUGUACUUUAUGAAUAAGGAUCGGCUGACUCCGUGCCAGCAGCCGCGGUAAUACGGAGGAUCCGAGCGUUAUCCGGAUUUAUUGGGUUUAAAGGGAGCGUAGAUGGAUGUUUAAGUCAGUUGUGAAAGUUUGCGGCUCAACCGUAAAAUUGCAGUUGAUACUGGAUAUCUUGAGUGCAGUUGAGGCAGGCGGAAUUCGUGGUGUAGCGGUGAAAUGCUUAGAUAUCACGAAGAACUCCGAUUGCGAAGGCAGCCUGCUAAGCUGCAACUGACAUUGAGGCUCGAAAGUGUGGGUAUCAAACAGGAUUAGAUACCCUGGUAGUCCACACGGUAAACGAUGAAUACUCGCUGUUUGCGAUAUACAGCAAGCGGCCAAGCGAAAGCGUUAAGUAUUCCACCUGGGGAGUACGCCGGCAACGGUGAAACUCAAAGGAAUUGACGGGGGCCCGCACAAGCGGAGGAACAUGUGGUUUAAUUCGAUGAUACGCGAGGAACCUUACCCGGGCUUAAAUUGCAGAUGAAUUACGGUGAAAGCCGUAAGCCGCAAGGCAUCUGUGAAGGUGCUGCAUGGUUGUCGUCAGCUCGUGCCGUGAGGUGUCGGCUUAAGUGCCAUAACGAGCGCACCCUUGUUGUCAUUU